UGAUCCUGCGGAGCCGCUAUGAUCACUAACAUGCAGUCGAAGCGGCUCGCUGACGGCUCAGUAACACGCGGAUAAUCUGCCCUUAGUGGAAAAUCUCGGGAAACUGAAAUAAUAUCAUAAGUCUAGAUGCUGGAAUGCACUUAACUAAAAGCUUCGGUGCCUAAGGAUGAUCUGCGGACUAUCAAGGGGGUUGUAGUCAGGAUAACGACUGACUAGCCUACGACGGAUACGGGUUGUGAGAGCAAUAACCCGGAAUGAUAUCUUGGAAGAACACGAUAUCAGGCCCUACGGGGCGCAGCAGGCGCGAAAAAACUUCGCAAUGUGCGAAAGCACGACGAGGGAAUCCCAAGUGCUGGCUCGUUAGAGUCAGCUGUUUUUAUGGUUCUAAAAAAAANAAGCAUAGAGAGUAAGGGCUGGGUAAGACGGGUGCCAGCCGCCGCGGUUAAAAAAAAAUACCCCUGGGCAGNCCUCAAAAGUGGUGGCCGCUAUUAUUGGGCCUUUUUUAAAAACGGGGUCCGUUAAAAGCCUGGUUUAUUAAAUGGGGCCCUAGGGUAAAUUGUGUUUUGGCUUAACCAUACGAAUUUUUCUGGGUAGACUGGUAAACUUUU
rnacentral:rRNA from 1 species